UCCGUAGGGUGAACCUGCGGAGGGAUCAUUACACAACAAAAUAUGAAGGUCUGGCUUCGCGGCCGGCUGAAAUAUUUUUUUCACCCAUGUCUUUUGCGCACUUGUUGUUUCCUGGGCGGGUUCGCCCGCCACCAGGACCAAACCAUAAACCUUUUUUUUUAUGCAGUUGCAAUCAGCGUCAGUAAAAACAAUGUAAUUAAUUACAACUUUCAACAACGGAUCUCUUGGUUCUGGCAUCGAUGAAGAACGCAGCGAAAUGCGAUACGUAGUGUGAAUUGCAGAAUUCAGUGAAUCAUCGAAUCUUUGAACGCACAUUGCGCCCUUUGGUAUUCCAAAGGGCAUGCCUGUUCGAGCGUCAUUUGUACCUUCAAGCUUUGCUUGGUGUUGGGCGUUUUUGUCUCCCUCUUUCUGGGAGACUCGCCUUAAAACGAUUGGCAGCCGGCCUACUGGUUUCGGAGCGCAGCACAUAAUUUGCGCUUUGUAUCAGGAGAAAAGGACGGUAAUCCAUCAAGACUCUACAUUUUUAACUUUUGACCUCGGAUCAGGUAGGGAUACCCGCUGAACUUAAGCAUAUCAAUAGCCGGGAGG
rnacentral:rRNA from 1 species